GAUGAACGCUGGCGGCGUGCCUAAUACAUGCAAGUCGAGCGAACAGAUGAGGAGCUUGCACCUCUGACGUUAGCGGCGGACGGGUGAGUAACACGUGGAUAACCUACCUAUAAGACUGGGAUAACUUCGGGAAACCGGAGCUAAUACCGGAUAAUAUAUUGAACCGCAUGGUUCAAUAGUGAAAGACGGUUUUGCUGUCACUUAUAGAUGGAUCCGCGCCGCAUUAGCUAGUUGGUAAGGUAACGGCUUACCAAGGCGACGAUGCGUAGCCGACCUGAGAGGGUGAUCGGCCACACUGGAACUGAGACACGGUCCAGACUCCUACGGGAGGCAGCAGUAGGGAAUCUUCCGCAAUGGGCGAAAGCCUGACGGAGCAACGCCGCGUGAGUGAUGAAGGUCUUCGGAUCGUAAAACUCUGUUAUUAGGGAAGAACAAAUGUGUAAGUAACUAUGCACGUCUUGACGGUACCUAAUCAGAAAGCCACGGCUAACUACGUG
rnacentral:rRNA from 1 species